UUGUUUUUAUUAUUCCACACUUUACAGGAAUAAAAUUCAUAGGCCUAGUUCUUCAAGUGAGAGUGCACAGUGAUGAGACUUGGAGCAUUGGAAAAGACCAUUGAGACUAAUCCUACACGCUGGACUAGGAUCAACACUAGGCAUGCCUACACACGCUGGCUAAUAACACGUGUGCCCAUUUCUGUGAAAAUGAGUAGGCUAUUUCUGCCUCUAAGACUCACACGUACUGUAGGGCUGUAGUGGCUCUCUUUUACAAUCUGUCUCUUUUCUGAGAAGGCGCCUGCUUAAAAUUAUUGUUUCUUCAUGAUGACCGUUUGCCAGAAAGAACAGUUUCUCACAGAAUUUAGUAUCUAAACCAAAUUUUGGAAGGCCUCAUUGCCAGGUGAAUGUACUGUCAUGGCUGCACUUGUUUAGGCUGGCUAGCGUCACGCGGUGCGAGUGGACUGACCGAUGAAAUCUUCAAAGUGAAGAGGCAGGUUACAUCAUAAGUAGGACAGACCUCCUCAUAUGAAAGCUGAGGGUAUGCCCGAGGAGAAGCAAACCACGAUGCUGAUGAGAAGAGCGCCCUCGCGUCCUUCAACCUGGAGAGAAGGAAGGUGGAGGCCAAGAUCCUAUGGGACUUC